AAUCGAGGAUAUGCAGGGAAACCCUAAGCCUCACGCCUGGAAUAUCCAGCACCUAAAGAGGUACUUCCCUUAGAAUAUUUGUAAAAAGAAAUUCUUGUACUAUGAAAACAUGAAUGAAUGGAAUAACACCACCUUUUGACAAAGCAAUGAUUAUCUCUAUUACUGUGAGUAUUAACUCUCUCAGAAAAAGAAAAGAACAGAUCCCAGAAGACCUCAAUGAGGUAGGUGACCGGGCUCUCAAAGUACCCCUGCCACCAGAAAACUGGCAGAGAUGACGAAGCGGCAGCAAGGCCACAGAGCCUGAAUCUUACAGAAGACAUCAAGGAGGUACAAGACCAGGAUCCCCAAGAUCUCCCGGAGCAAAAACGGCCAGUGAGAUCCCCAAGAUCUCCCGGAGCAAAAACGGCCGGCG
rnacentral:lncRNA from 1 species